rnacentral:rRNA from 1 species
CAAUAGCGUAUAUUUAAGUUGUUGCAGUUAAAAAGCUCGUAGUCGGAUUUUGGCUGAGAACGAUCGGUCCGCCGUUAGGUGUGCACUGAUUGGUCUCAGCUUCCUGGUGAGGAGGUGUGCUUCACGGCCACUUAGUCACCGUGGUUACUUUGAAAAAAUUAGAGUGUUCAAAGCGGGCUUACGCUUGAAUAUAUUAGCAUGGAAUAACACCAUAGGACUCCUGUCCUAUUUCGUUGGUCUCGGGACGGGAGUAAUGAUUAAGAGGAACAGUUGGGGGCAUUCGUAUUUCAUUGUCAGAGGUGAAAUUCUUGGAUUUAUGAAAGACGAACUUCUGCGAAAGCAUUUGCCAAGGAUGCUUUCAUUGA